rnacentral:rRNA from 1 species
GUGGGGAAUAUUGCACAAUGGGCGAAAGCCUGAUGCAGCGACGCCGCGUGAGGGAUGAAGGCCUUCGGGUUGUAAACCUCUUUCAGCUCUGACGAAGCUUUUUGUGACGGUAGGAGCAGAAGAAGCACCGGCUAACUACGUGCCAGCAGCCGCGGUAAUACGUAGGGUGCGAGCGUUGUCCGGAAUUAUUGGGCGUAAAGAGCUUGUAGGCGGUUUGUCGCGUCUGCUGUGAAAUCCCGGGGCUUAACCCCGGGCUUGCAGUGGGUACGGGCAGGCUAGAGUGUGGUAGGGGAGACUGGAAUUCCUGGUGUAGCGGUGGAAUGCGCAGAUAUCAGGAGGAACACCGAUGGCGAAGGCAGGUCUCUGGGCCACUACUGACGCUGAGAAGCGAAAGCGUGGGGAGCGAACAGG